CAAUGGAUCACCAAGUAAUG
rnacentral:misc_RNA from 1 species